rnacentral:rRNA from 1 species
GAUGAACGCUAGCGGGAGGCCUAACACAUGCAAGCCGAGCGGUAGAGAUCUUUCGGGAUCUUGAGAGCGGCGUACGGGUGCGGAACACGUGUGCAACCUGCCUUUAUCAGGGGGAUAGCCUUUCGAAAGGAAGAUUAAUACCCCAUAAUAUAUUGAAUGGCAUCAUUUGAUAUUGAAAACUCCGGUGGAUAGAGAUGGGCACGCGCAAGAUUAGAUAGUUGGUAGGGUAACGGCCUACCAAGUCAGUGAUCUUUAGGGGGCCUGAGAGGGUGAUCCCCCACACUGGUACUGAGACACGGACCAGACUCCUACGGGAGGCAGCAGUGAGGAAUAUUGGACAAUGGGUGAGAGCCUGAUCCAGCCAUCCCGCGUGAAGGACGACGGCCCUAUGGGUUGUAAACUUCUUUUGUAUAGGGAUAAACCUUUCCACGUGUGGAAAGCUGAAGGUACUAUGCGAAUAAGCACCGGCUAACUCCGUGCCAGCAGCCGCGGUAAUACGGAGGGUGCAAGCGUUAUCCGGAUUUAUUGGGUUUAAAGGGUCCGUAGGCGGAUCUGUAAGUCAGUGGUGAAAUCUCAUAGCUUAACUAUGAAACUGCCAUUGAUACUGCAGGUCUUGAGUAAAGUAGAAGUGGCUGGAAUAAGUAGUGUAGCGGUGAAAUGCAUAGAUAUUACUUAGAACACCAAUUGCGAAGGCAGGUCACUAUGUUUUAACUGACGCUGAUGGACGAAAGCGUGGGGAGCGAACAGGAUUAGAUACCCUGGUAGUCCACGCCGUAAACGAUGCUAACUCGUUUUUGGGUCUUCGGAUUCAGAGACUAAGCGAAAGUGAUAAGUUAGCCACCUGGGGAGUACGUUCGCAAGAAUGAAACUCAAAGGAAUUGACGGGGGCCCGCACAAGCGGUGGAUUAUGUGGUUUAAUUCGAUGAUACGCGAGGAACCUUACCAAGGCUUAAAUGGGAAUUGACAGGUUUAGGAAUAGACUUUUCUUCGGACAAUUUUCAAGGUGCUGCAUGGUUGUCGUCAGCUCGUGCCGUGAGGUGUUAGGUUAAGUCCUGCAACGAGCGCAACCCCUGUCACUAGUUGCCAUCAUUCAGUUGGGGACUCUAGUGAGACUGCCUACGCAAGUAGAGAGGAAGGUGGGGAUGACGUCAAAUCAUCACGGCCCUUACGCCUUGGGCCACACACGUAAUACAAUGGCCGGUACAGAGGGCAGCUACCUAGCGAUAGGAUGCGAAUCUCGAAAGCCGGUCUCAGUUCGGAUUGGAGUCUGCAACUCGACUCUAUGAAGCUGGAAUCGCUAGUAAUCGCAUAUCAGCCAUGAUGCGGUGAAUACGUUCCCGGGCCU